UAAUUCCAGCUCCAAUAGCGUAUAUUAAAGUUGUUGCGGUUAAAAAGCUCGUAGUUGGAUUUCAGUUCUGGACUGACGGUUCACCGCCCGGUGCACACUGUCACGCUCCGAACAGCCACAAAAGCCCGCUGGCUCGCACGGGGUGCUCUUCAUCGAGUGUCCCGCGUGGCCGGCAGAGUUUACUUUGAAAAAAUUAGAGUGCUCAAAGCAGGCUACAUUUACGGCCUGAAUGCCUAUGCAUGGAAUAAUGGAAUAGGACCUCGGUUCUAUUUUGUCGGUUUUCUGAACCCGAGGUAAUGACUAAUAGGAACAGGCGGGGGCAUUCGUAUUGCGACGCUAGAGGUGAAAUUCUUGGACCGUCGCAAGACGAACUACUGCGAAAGCAUUUGCCAAGGAUGUUUUCAUUAAUCAAGAACGAAA
rnacentral:rRNA from 1 species